rnacentral:rRNA from 1 species
GACGAACGCUGGCGGCGUGCUUAACACAUGCAAGUCGAACGGAAAGGCCCUGCUUUUGUGGGGUGCUCGAGUGGCGAACGGGUGAGUAACACGUGAGUAACCUGCCCUUGACUUUGGGAUAACUACAGGAAACUGGGGCUAAUACCGGAUAGGAGCUCCUGCUGCAUGGUGGGGGUUGGAAAGUUUCGGCGGUUGGGGAUGGACUCGCGGCUUAUCAGCUUGUUGGUGGGGUAGUGGCUUACCAAGGCUUUGACGGGUAGCCGGCCUGAGAGGGUGACCGGCCACAUUGGGACUGAGAUACGGCCCAGACUCCUACGGGAGGCAGCAGUGGGGAAUAUUGCACAAUGGGCGGAAGCCUGAUGCAGCAACGCCGCGUGCGGGAUGAAGGCCUUCGGGUUGUAAACCGCUUUCGCCUGUGACGAAGCGUGAGUGACGGUAAUGGGUAAAGAAGCACCGGCUAACUACGUG